rnacentral:rRNA from 1 species
AUGGCGGACGCCAAUAGCAGCAGCAACCCGCUGCUCGCCGACUUUGAUUUCCCGCCCUUCGACCGCGUCAAGCCUAUGCACGUCCGUCCCGGGAUCCGCGCGCUCCUCGCCCGCCUCGAGGGCGAGCUGGAGGAGCUCAAGAAGGGCGUGGAGCCGGCAUGGGAGUGCUUGGUCCACCCACUCGAGCGCAUCGUUGAUAGGCUUGACAUCGUAUGGAACGGCAUCGACCACAUCAAGGUCGUCAAGGACUCGCUCGACCUCCACGCCGCCGUCGAGGACGUCCAGACUAUGGGUCUAGAUCUGGCAGUUGAAAGUGCUUAA